CAAGUACUCCCUCCGUCCGGAAUCACUUGUCAUCAAAAUGGAUGUGUCUAGAACUAAAAUACAUCUAGAUACAUCCAUUUCAAUGACAAGUAUUUUCGGACGGAGGGAGUACAAG
rnacentral:pre_miRNA from 1 species